AGAGGGUCCAGAGAAAGGUGGGGAUUCCCUAACCCCUUCUUUCUUGGCACAGACAGGCAGAGAACACCUCUUUUCUCACCCCUGGGCAGCCCCAGGAAGUCAAUCCUUCCACUAUUCCUGCUCCGUGCCUCUCUUCCCUCUGCCCAGAUUCCUGGGAGACUCAAAACCCUGUUCAACUCUCUCUGGGCUAGCUGCUCCCCUCCCCAAGAGGAUUUCUCUCCAGAGCUGGUAUCAUCGCUUAAUGAUGUUCCACCAACAAGGGGAAGGUUUCUUUUCUGGGAGCUGCUAUCACUGAAUACAUAAAGAAAUUGAGCCUAUAUGAUUUCAAUCUUCACCUUCUGAUGCUGAUGAAACAGGAUUCUAUGCAGUUUUCCACAGGGAGAAGCAGCAGGCUGAAGUGGCUCUUUAGGGAGACACAUACCUCCACAGGAAGAGCAGUCUAGAUUGUUUUAGCACAUUCCACUUAAGGAUUGCAGUGUGACAGCAGAGAAAAUCCUCUCCAGUCAAGUAAUUGCAUCCAUUUCAUCUUCCCAGCCCUCCUCUAGAUGGGAGGUGGAGGUGUGUGUACCAAUCUCUUAAUUCAGAAAUGAGACAAGAGGAGGAAAAAGGAGUUCCGGAGGACAGUGGGGACCCCAGCCAGAGCCUGGGGACUUGGCUGCCUUGGAACCAGAACCUGGCCCCUCAGAGGAGUUGCAGAAUUUCGAUAGAGGAGUGGCAGGAGGUGUACUGGCUGAAGAGGAGGCCCAAGGAACUCCUUUUCAUACAUCAAAACUGAGCUUAUCACCUCUACCCUGAAGUCAUCCUGGACAUCACUGGUCCCAGUUAAUCACUCACUUAUCUUUGCCAUCCUUGACCUGGGAAGAGAACGUUGCCCUCAUUGGUCUGGAAUCAGCAGGUACCUCAUGGCUGGAGGUGUAUUUUCAGACUCCUUUGGCAUCUGGUGAGGCCUGUGGAUUCAUUCUCAGAAUCACAUUUUUAAAUGCACAUAAUAAAAUACAUAGAAUUGCAAAGGAAGUUAAUUAUAUUGAAAUACAGUUAUCAAAAAUAUAAAUAAAACAAGUAUGUGGUACAGUCAUAUGUGUGCUUCUUUAUUAAGUCAUUACAAAGCAAGAUCUAUUUGGAGGUCUAAUAACUGUCAUAUGCUUGAAAAAAUCCUUAACAAUCAUAAUAUAUUAAAAAAUCUGAUUUCUACUUUGGCAAAUCAUAGAUAUUGCUGAAACUGUGGUUUAUUGCCUGCAUUCAUAAUUGAAGGAAAUGCUAGAGUUCAGUGAGAAGGUUGUGAAAAUAAAGAGAGCCUUUUUUUCUCAUCAAG
rnacentral:lncRNA from 1 species